UACGGUUCUGCCAGCUCACCCUGGAGGAGGUUUCUACAGUAUUGCUCGCAUCACAGAUGAGGAGUCCGAGGCUCAGGUUCAGUUCAUGACCGAACCUGUUCACUGCCGAUUUCACAGAAAACAGCCAGUGCCUGGGAUGGAGGGGAAGAAGACAGGAAGAGGGCCACAAUACUGUCCAGGUUUCAUCCAGAGGGAAGAAUCCAAUUUAGCUUUCGGGGCUGAUGUUGUAAUUGGUCAGAGAACCGAGGAUCCUAACUGAGGCUGGAGCCUGGGGGAGGCGGAUGCUCCAGAUUCCAGAGCUUUCCUUGUCCCAUCUGAGUCAUCCUGCCCCCACCUGGGUUGCACGGAUGUCUGGCUGAUGGAAUGGAUGAAUACUCCUUUUGAGGGUACGGAGGGAAGAUUUCUCCAGAGAUCUCCUCUGUUGUAUUGGAUGUCGGUCAGAAGACUAGCAGAGGAGCGGUCACCACUUAAAAUUCCCUUCUUGGGGGGGGAGUACAUC